GCAGAUCGUAUCCCGCUGCGUCACACAUCGCACUAAAAACUUGUUUUAUGCCAUGACAGUAGCUUGAAAUAAUACGCAAGGAGUCUGAACGCUGCUGAAAGGAGUUUAACAUGCUUUUGGGGAUCCAGGACGCUAUACAGACAUGAUUUACGAUCCGUUGGCUGACGGACCACCAGGCUUUGGUGAUUUCCGCUCAAAUUCGACAGCCGACUCCUGAGAACCGAGGCCACAGUGUUUUAUGACGUCUUCACUGUAUCGUCUCCUGCUCCAAAACAAACGGCAGAAACAUGAACUGAAAUCAAAUCUGCGAUGAAAAUCCUCUUACAUAUGAGGAUUCUAGAAGCUUCCAAAGGGCAGAUGCCAGCCGCUGUUGCCGUUGGUUACCAUAGGGCACCACUUUACAGACCAUAAACCUCCAGUGCAUGAAUGCACUCGACAAAACACAGCAAACUUUGAACAAGAAAUGUCUGGAAUUCAUGAGGAAGAUAAACUUUGUGUCAUAAAAGUAAAUGUCUUGAUUUAGUAGCCGUCUUUAUAGCAAAGAAACCUCUAGAAUGAGCGGGAGGGAAUAAAUCUGCUGAGAGACCAAUUCAAACAGCAGUGAACGCGGCCGACAGAGAAACAGUCAACAUCAAACGCUGCUGACGGAGAGAAACCUGCAAAUGAAGCAGAUUCUCACUCGCAGUGUGAGUUAUAACAAACUGCGCAUCAGAAAGAGUUGGGAGACGUUUGUCAGGAUCAGGGAAGCGGACGGA